rnacentral:rRNA from 1 species
GACGAACGCUGGCGGCGUGCUUAACACAUGCCAGUCGAACGGAAAGGCCCUGCUUGCAUGGUACUCGAGUGGCGAACGGGUGAGUAACACGUGGGUGAUCUGCCCUGCACUUCGGGAUAAGCCUGGGAAACUGGGUCUAAUACCGGAUAGGAGCCAUUUUUAGUGUGAUGGUUGGAAAGUUUUUUCGGUGUAGGAUGAGCUCGCGGCCUAUCAGCUUGUUGGUGGGGUAAUGGCCUACCAAGGCGGCGACGGGUAGCCGGCCUGAGAGGGUGGACGGCCACCUUGGGACUGAGAUACGGCCCAGACUCCUACGGGAGGCAGCAGUGGGGAAUAUUGCACAAUGGGCGCAAGCCUGAUGCAGCGACGCCGCGUGGGGGAUGACGGCCUUCGGGUUGUAAACGCCUUUCGCUAGGGACGAAGCUUUUUGUGACGGUACCUAGAUAAGAAGCACCGGCUAACUACGUG